UUCAACAACGGAUCUCUUGGUUCCCGCAUCGAUGAAGAACGCAGCGAAACGCGAUAGUUAAUGUGAAUUGCAGAAUUCAGUGAAUCAUCGAGUCUUUGAACGCACAUUGCGCCUUUUGGUAUUCCGAGAGGCACGUCUGUUCGAGCGUCAGUAAAAAC
rnacentral:rRNA from 1 species